rnacentral:lncRNA from 12 species
GCCGGGGCAAGCCCACUCUCUCCUGCUCCCCGGGCUGGUGGGAGGACGUAGGGGUCCGGCCUGGGCUGGGGUGGGAGAAGCUGCAGACAGGAUGGAAGUUCAAGUUUUCAUUUCCACCAGGCUGGCUUCGGGGGGAAGGGCACCUGCAGCAGCGUGGUGGGGGUGACAGCUGUGGGAGGUCUGCUGGGCCCCCGUGGGCUGGCCCGUCGAGUCCGUGGCUUCCGUGCCUCAGUGUGGGUGUCGUUGGGCCUGCUGAGAUCCAGGCUCGGAGACCUGUGCUGGCCCCCGGCCCCUGAGGUCCGGAGGGGGCUCCCGGAGCCCCGCGGGCUGGCCUCUCCUGCACUCUGCUCCCUGGCCGCCUGCGCUGAACCCCCGGCUGCCCCACCCCGACCCCCCGGAACACGCUCACUGCUGUGUGCAAGUCUGGAUCUUCCUGAAAACUGGAGACCACCGGCGUCACGGCAGCCAGACCGGCCCCUUUGCCGUCCCAGCGCUCCCCGUUUGUCCCGCGUCCCAACGUCAAGAUUACGCACAAAAGCAGCUGCUCUUCCUGGCGUGGUGGAGACGCAGACUUUGAAGGCAGAAGAAUUGACGUCCGUUCCCCUCCUUCCCACCUGCUGUUCCCUGGCACAACGGACUUGGUCUCUCGGAGCCUCUCUGCGUUUGUAGAAGGAGAUAACAGGACCUGCGUCACGGCGAGGCUGAGGACCACAUGGGAUCAAAUGUCUUACGCACGGAGCCGGGGCGGGGGACACACGGGCGCCUCAUCGUUGCCAGAAGCAGGGGGCUGAGCGCAAGUACCGGGUUGCUAGCGGGUCUUCAAGGAAUAUAGCAACGUGGGGGGCAUGGUCCUCCCCAGAUAAUUUCUUCUCAGCAGAAACAGCCUGCGAAGCCAAACAGAGGAGCCUCGCUUUCCAGAAGCGUGUUAUUGAGCCGACGUUCCAGCAAGGGCUCCCCACAUGGUGCUGCUGGCCGGGAGCGCGGCCUCCCAUGGAGCGCCCCCCACCCCCAGCACCGAGCCUUCUUGCCCCACUUCCCCCCCAGCCCCGCCGCCGACCACGCACUGGAUGGGGAGGAAGCCAGAGCAGUUGUAAGGCUUUUUUUUUUUUUUUUUUUUUGAAAAAAUAAGAGUUAUGGGGAACGGCAUUAAUUUAAAAGCUUUUAAGGAGCCAAUUCACCUGUGAAAGUGCUCCCCAGGUGAGAGCCUUCCUGUGCGGAAAACAGCCCGGUCUUUAAAAGGAUUUUAAUUAAUGUUGCUGAGAAACAUACCGAUGGCAUUUAAGUCCGAGAGCUAAAGCGCAAAGGUGCCAGCCAAGAGUUUUAUGACGUGGAGCUAGUUUUCUUAAAGGCAGUUGAAAUAAUACUCACAAGCACUUAGCCUCAGCAUUUAGUUCUGGUCCUGGCCAAAAAUUAGUGCUGGAAUCCUCGGUGGCCUAACUCUCAACCCUCCAGACGGAAGGCAGGCGCUCCCCGCCAGGACCUACUCAGUUGAACUUGAGAGGAAUUUUCAGGAACUCGGGCCUCUCCUCACCUCCCGUUGGGCACACACCUUGCCUGGGGGGGGGGGGGGGGGGGGCAGGCAGCUCUCGCUGCAGGCCUGUCCAGCGGGGCUCGAAUCUGAAGUGUUGAGAACAUGCCAAGGCUGGAUGAGGGUGGGUGGAGGGCGACG